CGUCGUGACUGCGUGCCUUUUGAAGAAUGAGCCUGCGAGUUUGCGGUGUGUUGCGAGGUUAACCCGGGUGGGGAAGCCGUAGCGAAAGCGAGUCCGAACAGGGCGAUUUUAGUAGCACGCUCAAGACCCGAAGCGGAGUGAUCUAGCCAUGGGCAGGUUGAAGCGGAGGUAAGACUUCGUGGAGGACCGAACCCACCAGGGUUGAAAACCUGGGGGAUGACCUGUGGUUAGGGGUGAAAGGCCAAUCAAACUCCGUGAUAGCUGGUUCUCCCCGAAAUGCAUUUAGGUGCAGCGUCGUGUGUUUCUUGCCGGAGGUAGAGCACUGGAUAGGCGAUGGGCCCUACCGGGUUACUGACCUUAGCCAAACUCCGAAUGCCGGUAAGUGAGAGCGCGGCAGUGAGACUGUGGGGGAUAAGCUCCAUGGUCGAGAGGGAAACAGCCCAGAGCAUCGACUAAGGCCCCUAAGCGUACGCUAAGUGGGAAAGGAUGUGGAGUCGCACAGACAACCAGGAGGUUGGCUUAGAAGCAGCCACCCUUGAAAGAGUGCGUAAUAGCUCACUGGUCUAGUGAUUCCGCGCCGACAAUGUAGCGGGGCUCAAGCGUACCGCCGAAGUCGUGUCAUU
rnacentral:rRNA from 1 species